AAAUAAUCUUGUAUCCUGAGUGUGUACAAUGCUUAAAAGGAAAUUAAGCCAAGAGCAGUGCUGGACAAAAUCACUAUCUUCACAAAUCUGCCACCUUAAAGCAGCAAGGUCAAAACUUAUAAACCCUCAGAUGCAAAAACAUCAAAGGCUGGUGAUGAGACCUACAGCAGUGCAAUUCUGGAUUGAGAAAACUAAUUUAGGAUAGAUAGAUAGAUAGAUAGAUAGAUAGAUAGAUAGAUA